rnacentral:rRNA from 1 species
GCAUGGGCGAAAGCCUGAUCAGCCUGCCGCGUGUGUGAAGAAGGUCUUCGGAUUGUAAAGCACUUUAAGUUGGGAGGAAGGGUUGUAGAUUAAUACUCUGCAAUUUUGACGUUACCGACAGAAUAAGCACCGGCUAACUCUGUGCCAGCAGCCGCGGUAAUACAGAGGGUGCAAGCGUUAAUCGGAAUUACUGGGCGUAAAGCGCGCGUAGGUGGUUAGUUAAGUUGGAUGUGAAAUCCCCGGGCUCAACCUGGGAACUGCAUUCAAAACUGACUGACUAGAGUAUGGUAGAGGGUGGUGGAAUUUCCUGUGUAGCGGUGAAAUGCGUAGAUAUAGGAAGGAACACCAGUGGCGAAGGCGACCACCUGGACUGAUACUGACACUGAGGUGCGAAAGCGUGGGGAGCAAA